GGCUUCGUGUCAGCUCUAAAAUACGAAGUCGGACCUGCCCAGUGAGUUUUUAAACGGCCGCGGUACUCUGACCGUGCAAAGGUAGCAUAAUCAUUUGCCUUAUAAUUGAAGGCUGGAAUGAAUGGUUUGACAAGAAUACAUCUGUCUCUUUUUGAUUUCCUAGAAUUUUAUUUUUGGAUGAAAAAGUCCAGAUAUUAUUAAAAGACAAGAAGACCCUAUCGAGCUUUAGAAAAAUUAGUGGACUAAUAUAACAAAUCAAUAGAAAUAAAAGAUAAGGCCACUAAAUGCACUUUGGUUGGGGCAACCGAGGAGCAAAUAAAGCCUCCUCUAAAUUUUAAAUCGUACUUGUAUUGAUCCAAAAAUUUUGAUCAAAGGAAUUAGUUACCGUAGGGAUAACAGCAUUAUCUUUUUCAAGAGCCCAUAUCGAAAAAAAGGUUUGUGACCUCGAUGUUGGACCAGAAUAUCCUAAAGAUGCAGAAGUCUUUAAGGGUUGGUCUGUUCGACCAGUAAAAUUA
rnacentral:rRNA from 1 species